CCUGCUCCGUACACUGCAGUGCGUCAGGACACAACUCGCGCUAUCGAAACGUUCCUUCCUUCCGUGCUCCGGUGGCGGACUCGCAGUCACGGCUGUGGGCGGGUAGCACUCAUUUCCCGCUAGACCUCACGCCUGCCUGGGUGAGCCAAAACGCGUGCCUUUCGGCUUCCUCUUGAAUCCCGGGGUUGGCUCCCCUGCCAAUCCACAACAGCUUCGGUCCGAAGAAGAUUUACAUGAAUUUAGAAGGAAGAUAAGACGCCCCGAAUUGUGGAAGAGGAAAGUGAUUAAACAAAAGAAGGUCAAGGGUUUGGAUCAUGCCAAUUGGAAAGGAAACAUUGUUCCUAGGAGGCAAACAGGUGCUUAUUGUAGAUACCGGCGUAAAUGUUUUGAGAAGUUCUCACUUGCUGAGAAGGAACUAUUGUUGACAGAAUUCAACAAUACGCCCAACAAAGAUGGACAGGAUGGGUACUUGAGUGCUCGCUCACAUUCUUCCCUUCUUUCCGAAAGCAAAGAGACCACGCCCAAAUUCCAUUACCAA